rnacentral:rRNA from 1 species
AUUGAACGCUGGCGGAAUGCUUUACACAUGCAAGUCGAACGGCAGCACGGGGCAACCUGGUGGCGAGUGGCGAACGGGUGAGUAAUACAUCGGAACGUGCCCAAUCGUGGGGGAUAACGUAGCGAAAGUUACGCUAAUACCGCAUACGAUCUACGGAUGAAAGCGGGGGAUCGCAAGACCUCGCUCGAAUGGAGCGGCCGAUGUCAGAUUAGGGAGUUGGUGGGGUAAGGGCUCACCAAGCCAACGAUCUGUAGCUGGUCUGAGAGGACGACCAGCCACACUGGGACGGAGACACGGCCCAGACUCCUACGGGAGGCAGCAGUGGGGAAUUUUGGACAAUGGGCGAAAGCCUGAUCCAGCCAUUCCGCGUGCAGGAUGAAGGCCUUCGGGUUGUAAACUGCUUUUGUACGGAACGAAACGGCUCUCUCUAAUACAGGGGGCUAAUGACGGUACCGUAAGAAUAAGCACCGGCUAACUACGUGCCAGCCGCCGCCGUAAUAC